rnacentral:misc_RNA from 1 species
UCUCCGUAGGUGAACCUGCGGAGGGAUCAUUACUGAGUGAGGGCUCACGCCCGACCUCCAACCCUUUGUGAACCCAUCUCGUUGCUUCGGGGGCGACCCUGCCGGCACUCUGUCGCCGGGCGCCCCCGAAGGUCUCCCAACACUGCAUCUUUGCGUCGGAGUUUAAAACAAAUGAAACAAAACUUUCAACAACGGAUCUCUUGGUUCUGGCAUCGAUGAAGAACGCAGC